GUUAUUCUAAGUGUCCUAACAUAGAAAACAUUGACAAACAUAUUGUUUGGGGUACUUUAAAAGACUAAUUCCCCAAACAAUGAAUAAUCCCCUGUGUACUCCAACCCACCUGGUACAGUCUGGGUUCCCCUACUAUAAAGUCCUUUGGAUUCUCCCACUUCCUGUUUGUCAGUUUGGAUUCUUGGCCAGCAGGUAAAAUGAAGUGGAGCACAUGGAGCACAACUAAUAUUUGUGUACUGAAACAUAAAUGAAUGUAGCAUAGAGACCUGACUACAAGGCAAAGAGUCGUGUGAUGUGUCUGCCUGCAGUGAAUUACUUUGUCGAAGGCUGCUUCAAGGGAUGCAGCGUUUGAUCGGCAUGACUCUGCAGCACUUCUACAGUUCAGUGGUCAUAGAAUGUUGCUGAAGUUCAUGCACAGGGACACAGGAGAUGGAGGGUGAAGAGGCUGCAUCUACGGCCGGUGCCAGUGCACAUGGGGAGGCUGCUUCCACUGCUUAUGCGCCAUCUGUGCCAUCGCAUAACCCUGCAGGUCAGUCUUGGAUGCGUGUCCUUCCAGAUGCUGUGUUGGAGUAACAGAGAG